CAUUUUUUUUCUCAAAUAGUCUUUAUAUCAUCGAAAUUUAUACUCAAAAAGCAUAUUGAUGCAGUUUUUUCAAAAGCUAAGUUUAAUUUAGAUAAACAAUAUGGCUUUACAUUUAUCUGUAGUGCACUGUACCACAUCGAAUUUUGGGCAAUAAUACAACUCGGGUACAGUCUAAUAAGGACCGGGUACGUUUAAGUAUAUUAACCUUACCCGAGGUACAUGCAAGUAUGCUUAAUGAUACCAGGGGUACAUGUAAGUAGUACCCAAGCUGUGAAUAACCAAUCGAGCGUGAGAAAAGUAGAUUGUACCUUAUGUCUUUAAUAAUUGCAGAACAAUUACCUUAAUUAUUUCUAUAUUGUUUCCAUUUGAUUACAAUUUAUUUAUUUGUCAAAUUCAAUUCUGCAGUGCUAUAAAUAUGCACCCCCCAUCCAAAAAAUUUAUUUCGUGCAUAUUGAUGGGGCUUUUUUAUUUAUUUACUCCUUUUCUGCAUUCCUCCCUUUUGUGUUGGUAAUGUGAACAUAAAAUGAUGAGCACUUUCAUGUUAAUGAAUAACUUUUAUUUCUUUUUAUAGAUUUUGGCAUAUUGCCAAGGGAGAUGUUUACUGAGGAUUCCAUGCCAUUAAUGUGCAGGCUGUUGCUGACGCCAGCAUGAGCAAUAUCUGAGCACCAAUGAUGAGGGUCAUCUGCUGGGAGAUAGUGGGUAUCCGUUAAGGACUAACCUGAUGACCCCUUAACCUCAUCCCUCCCAUGCUGCGGAACAGGCCUACAAUGACCAUCUAUGUAGAGGAUAUCUGCAUGCCACUGGUGGAUGUUGGCCUUUCAAGUCCAAUAAGUGCUGUGAAAUAUCAACUGUGUACAUGCCCCUGCAUAACCUGUGUCUGGAUUCAAACGUUCCACUGAUAGAGGAAUUGGUUGGAAAUGUGAUGGAACCGGAAGUUAUGAACAACACACCAGUACAUCGAGCAGCAUGUGAUAAGAGGCAGCAGCUGAUCAAACUGUUUCAUAAAAUGUGUAAACAAUUUAUAGUUAUAAAUGUUAUAAAGUGAUAGAUGGCUCGAGUCUUCUCUGAAUAGGCAGAGCUACACUACUCAGCCAAAUGGCGUAAAGUUGUGUCAUAGCUGAUUUGGAAGGAUUGGUAUUCCUGGUCGUCUAGACACAAUAGUUACAACAGCUGAUGUUUGCAUGUUUUAUAAUUGUGUAUGCAUAAUUUGUCUAAUAUUUACUUCAAGGUUAUAGGUUUGUGAAAGAAAAAAAUGUCAAUGUUCUGAGGACCAAUAAAAAAGUUAUGUGUUAGGUAUUACCAAGUGCUUGAUUUAAUAUUUAUUUUAAAGGGAACUUUUCCUAAAUUUUGGCAGAUAUUCAAGUUUUUCAUUAAACGCUUUUAUAUUGAUACAUGUAAACACUGGAUCUAAAAAGCUCCAGUAAAAAAAGAAUACAAUUAAAGAAAGAUAAAAAGUAACUCCUACAGGGCUCAAACCACUUACCCCUGAAGUAAAAGCCUCACACUAAGACCACUUGUCCGUCCAUGUUGAUACAAUGAGUGAUGUAUUUUACACUUUAUAUAAGCAAUCCUCAUCGUGUCACAAAAUAUUACGACAACAACAGAACUCUACAAAUUAUUCAAUCGUCGAGUGUUGCAGCAGAUAGUUGCAACGCUUUAAAAUUUUCAAGUUUUUAAAUCGUCAAAAGUUGCAUAUAAUGGAUAUUUUAGAGCAUGGUAAAUGUUCAGUAUUACUGUUUCCUCACAAAUAUCAUAACUACAACAAAUGUUUGCGAAUCUUAAACUUAUUUUUUUUUAAUUUAGUCAAUUUACCAAAACUGGAAAAGGUCCCUUGAAUAUUGAACAGUUAUCUGAGCUCCAGAAAAGAUCAUAUACUCAAGGUACUUUUCCCCAUUAACAAUUAUUCAAGUGAUAUUUUACCCACUGACUUUCGCUCUAAAAGGUGUUCUCUGUAAUGAACAUUCUCAAAGCCACAUUAAAACAAGGGCUGUUAGUAAAACAUGCAUGCCCCCCAUUUGGGCUGUCAGUUGUAGUGGCAGUCAUUGUGUGAAUACGUUUUUUUGUCACUGUGAACUUGACCUUUGACUUAGUGACCUGAAAAUCAAUAGGAGUCAUCUGC